rnacentral:rRNA from 1 species
UACGUAGGGUGCAAGCGUUAAUCGGAAUUACUGGGCGUAAAGCGUGCGCAGGCGGUUUUGUAAGUCUGUCGUGAAAUCCCCGGGCUCAACCUGGGAAUUGCGAUGGAGACUGCAAGGCUAGAAUCUGGCAGAGGGGGGUAGAAUUCCACGUGUAGCAGUGAAAUGCGUAGAGAUGUGGAGGAAUACCGAUGGCGAAGGCAGCCCCCUGGGCCAAUACUGACGCUCAUGC